rnacentral:rRNA from 1 species
AUAGAACCAUUGCUGCGGUUAAAAAGCUCGUAGUUGGAUCUGUGCCGACGUCGUGGUCCAGCCUAACAGUUGGCACUGCGCGCGUCGGCUUUGGGCCGGUCUUCGUCCGGGGGCCUUCACUGGUCCGUCGGCCGUGGCUGGCUGGUUUACUUUGAGCAAAUCAGAGUGCUCAGCACAGGCGUUUCGCCGGAAUGUUCGUGCAUGGAAUAAUAGAACAGGGUCACGGUCCUCUUUUAUUGGUUUUGUGGACUGAGAUAAUGGUUAACAGAGACGAACGGGGGCAUUCGUAUUGCUGCGUGAGAGGUGAAAUUCUUGGACCGCAGCAGGACGGACUACAG